rnacentral:rRNA from 1 species
UACGUAGGGUCCGAGCGUUGUCCGGAGUUACUGGGCGUAAAGGGUGCGUAGGCGGCUUUUUUAAGUUUGGUGUGAAAUCUCCCGGCUCAACUGGGAGGGUGCGCCGAAUACUGAGAGGCUAGAGUGCGGGAGAGGAAAGUGGAAUUCCUGGUGUAGCGGUGAAAUGCGUAGAUAUCAGGAGGAACACCGGUGGUGUAAACGGCUUUCUGGACCGUAACUGACGCUGAUGCACGAAAGCGUGGGUAGCAAACAGG